rnacentral:lncRNA from 1 species
ACAUACUUUCUUCAUCGAAGUUGUUCCUCAGCUUGUGAACUACAACAUAUCCAAAUUUGAGAUCCCUCGGAGCAGUAUAACUCCAGAAAUCCAGGUAUGAUGAAUGACUGGUUAUUAUUUUUCUGUCAACCCGUCAGAUUUGUUGUGAGCUUCGAAACUCCAUUUUCUCUUGUUCAGAUCGGUAUGCUUUCUUCAUUGAAGUUGUUUCUCAGCUCGUGAACUACAACAUAUCCAAAUUUGAGAUCCCUCGGAGCAGUAUAACUCCAGAAAUCCAGGUAUGAUGAAUGACUGGUUAUUAUUUUUCUGUCAACCCGUCAGAUUUGUUGUGAGCUUCGAAACUCCAUUUUCUAUUGUUCAGAUCGGCAUGCUUUCUUCAUUGAAGUUGUUCCUCAUCGUCUCUUUCAUAACAUAUCAAAAAUUCAGAAUGAACUAAUGGUUAAAUAUUUCCAGAUCUUCGAAACAUCACAGCAGCUUCGAAAUCUGCAAGAAUCCGACUGUCAUGUUUGGAGCUUCAACACUUUAAUUUCCGU